rnacentral:misc_RNA from 1 species
GAUGAAGAACGUAGCGAAAUGCGAUACUUGGUGUGAAUUGCAGAAUCCCGUGAACCAUCGAGUCUUUGAACGCAAGUUGCGCCCGAAGCCAUUAGGCCGAGGGCACGCCUGCCUGGGCGUCACACAUCGUUGCCCCCCCAUCUACUCCUUCGGGAUUGCGGGGGGCGGAUGAUGGCCUCCGGUGCGCCUCGUCGCGCGGUUGGCAUAAAUGCCAAGUCCUCGGCGACGCACGCCACGACAAUCGGUGGUUGCGAAACCUCGGGUGCCCGUCGUGUGCGGUCGUCGCGCAUCGAGGGCUCGAAAAAAUUGCCGGGCUCCGGCUCGGCUUUCAACGCGACCCCAGGUCAGGCGGGGUUACCCGCUGAAUUUAAGCAUAUCAAUAAGCGGAGGA